UUUGCGUUGGCUAAAUCAGGCAUAGACGCAACGUUUGCAGAAGAUGAAGUUAAGCAACAACUUGGGUUGAUUUUUGAUUCAGCCUCGCCAGAGUAUGUUUAGUGUUCUGCUUUUACCGGUUUACCUGGUUUGAUUGAGAUGUUCUUACAUUGCAAAAAAAUAAAAAUAAAACUUGUUUUUGUUUGUAGAGGAAUGAUUCGAUAGGUAUGAGUAAACGUUCUUACAUGGAAGCGGUUAUCAAAGGUCUGAGAUCUAUCAGUGAAGUCGAUGUUGAGUUUGUUGCCGCGCCUGAUUCUGAGAAACUACACAACUCGUGUGAUGGAGUUGGAAGAAAGAAGAUUUAUGUUAGACUUCUUCUUAGUAUUGACCGUAGAGAGACAACAGAGUCCGCAAUGGAGACUGUAAGUUGUUGUAAAACUACUCUGAAAGCUUUUAAAAUUACCAAAUAAAAACAUUAUCCUUUUUCUCUUUAAGGUUAAGCUCGCAUUGGAGAUGAGAAAUGUCGGUGUUGUUGGUAUCGAUCUCUCUGGGAACCCUCUUGUUGGAGAAUGGUAGGCUUGUAAAAUUUCUUCUUCUUAGUCCUUUUUUUUGAUCAACAUCUCUCAUGUUCUUGUAGGAGCACCUUCCUACCUGCGUUACAGUUUGCUAAAGACAAUGAUCUUUACAUCACUCUUCACUGUGGGGAGGUACUAACCUGUCUUCAAAUGUGUUCUUUUAGUAAAGAUUGUCUACUACUUACUUCAUCUUAGUGCAUUGCAGGUCCCUAAUCCGAAAGAGAUCCAAGCAAUGCUUGAUUUCAAACCGCAUCGAGUUGGCCAUGCUUGUUUCUUCAAAGAUCAAGACUGGGAAAAAUUGAAAUCUUUCCGGAUUCCGGUAACAGAUUAGUGGUUACAAUUGUAUAAUCUUCUAACAGUGUAACAUACUCAUUUAAUUUGUGCAGGUGGAGAUAUGUCUAUCAUCCAACAUUAUAACCAAAUCCAUAUCUUCAAUCGAUAUACACCAUUUUGGUUAAAGACUUUCUGUUUACCCUGCUGCUUUGUUUCUUUUUUUUUUAUGCAUUGAAGUGACAUGAGCUUGAAUCUUUGAUGUAACAGCUGAUCUCUACAAGGCAAAGCAUCCGUUGAUUAUAUGCACUGAUGAUUUUGGAGUGUUCUCCACUACCCUCUCCAACGAGUACUCUCUCGCUGUUCGUUCCUUUGGUGAGUUCUUUUCUGAUUCUUGAGACUGCUACAAAGAAACUACAUGUUUAAGAAUCUCACUGUGUUCUUGUGGUUGAAUAUCUUUGAAGGUCUUGGUAAAAGAGAAACAUUUGCGUUGGCUAAAUCAGGCAUAGACGCAACGUUUGCAGAAGAUGAAGUUAAGCAACAACUUGGGUUGAUUUUUGAUUCAGCCUCGCCAGAGUAUGUUUAGUGUUCUGCUUUUACCGGUUUACCUGGUUUGAUUGCGUUCGUACCAAAUGAAGGAAAUGUGGUUUGGUUCAUUGGAAUUGAUAACAUACGGUAUUUCCAUUGUUACUAAUAUUUUACAAUCAGUAUAUGAACUUUUUAACUUUUAAUU
rnacentral:lncRNA from 1 species